GGCAAGAUGGCCGAGCGGUUAAGGCGUGUGACUCAAGUUUAACAACUUAUCCCGACCGGGGUUUCUCAUCACGUAAUGUGGCGUGGGUUCGAGUCCCACUCUUGUCA